rnacentral:tRNA from 1 species
UGCAUCGGCCGGGAAUCAAACCCUGGCCGCCCGCGUGGCAGGCGAGCAUUCUACCACUGAACCACCGAUGC